UACGAAGGGGGCUAGCGUUGUUCGGAAUUACUGGGCGUAAAGCGCACGUAGGCGGCUUUCCAAGUUGGAGGUGAAAUCCCCGGGCUUAACUCGGGAACUGCCUCCAAAACUGGACGGCUCGAGUCCGAGAGAGGUGAGUGGAAUUUCCAGUGUAGAGGUGAAAUUCGUAGAUAUUGGAAAGAACACCAGUGGCGAAGGCGGCUCACUGGCUCGGUACUGACGCUGAGGUGCGACAGCGUGGGGAGCAAAC
rnacentral:rRNA from 1 species